rnacentral:lncRNA from 1 species
GUCUAUCGCACCGUUUGCAGCCUCCAUGCCAGCGCUAAAACAUACAAUUUACCUUUUUUUACAAACUAAAACUAUUAUUUUUUCCUUUUUUUUUAAUUAUUAAAUGCACUAAGUACUUUCAGAAAUCCAAAUCGACAUUAAUCUAACCUAAAGGUAAUUAUUAAUUAAUAAUUUAUUUUAUUUUCAGGUUUGGCCAUUAAUUGGUGUACAAUUUGGUGUCCUCGUUGGAGUUACCUACAUAAUCUACCACAGAAUUUUUCUUACUACUAUUGACGUUCAGUUAAGUCAAAAAAUUAAUCAACGAUUUGAAGUAUCAUCUAAGCCAGGAUUCAUUGAUUUAAGAAAUCCUCGACUAUUAAAGCUGAUUGGCUGCAACACCCCAGAGCCGGCGAUUGAUCUUGAUAAUCGGUAUCGUUUGAUGCGUCACGAGCAGAUGCUGGAUGCACAAGGAAAUCCCACGGAUAAAUUUAUUAAAGAUUCACGAGUUUAUUCUUUUGAAGAAUACAUUGAAAUUCACAAUCUUAAUCAAUAAACAAUGUAUUGUUUUGUACCCAAUCAGAAUAAUAAACAUUAAAAGAAAAAUAAUAAUAAUAAUAAUAAGAAACUCUAGAAGAUUUAACGAACCAAGAAGAUAACACUCGUCCAACAAAGAGCUUCUUGUUUGAGGAAUAAUUUUAAGCACACUUGAGUCUAUCAAUCCGAUUAAAUCCCAACUUUUAGCUUGUAAAAAUCGGAUUUAAAUUAACAUUGAAAGAUUCAAUCAAUAUUUUGUUCCCUUAAAAUUUCUUAAUCCAGAAAAUAUUUUAAAAUAAAAUAAAUUAUUUGGUUUAAAAUUCUCUUUUGAGUCGGUAACUUAUUUAUCUUGGAGCUACAGAGGUAAUUAGUUUCAAGUGAUCGAGUUGUUAAGAUUGUAGGGAUGCCCGAUGUUAGUAAAAAACAUCCACGCCGAACUAUCGAUUGUGUUUAAUUUCUUGGGAUCGGAGCAUCGAUCAUUUAUUUAAAAACAUCCGACACAUUGAUUGUUAAUAUUGAUGGUAAGAAUAAGCGUUUAAAUUUCAAUAAAUUAUAGCUAACGAUCUAAAAAGAUAAAUCCAAAUUAGAGGUCUUAAUUUUGAAUUAUUAUUGUUUUAAAUAAAUUAUAUCUUGGACAUCGAAAUUUGUUUUUUUUGUCAAUAGAUAAAUUACUGUUAUUAAAAUAUUUAAGCAAAAUUUUUUAUUUCUAGAGUUAUUUAUUUGUCAAAAAAUUCACGCUCUUACUAUUUGGUAGUAGAAGAAAAGUUUUCAUUAAAUUAAUAACUAAAAUAAUAUAUCUGAUGUGAAUAGUUGCGUUGUGGUAUCACUUAUUCUCAACAGCGCAGUUCGAUCAGGGUUCGAGCCCAGUCUCGGGUUAAAGUUGCAUUAUUUUUUAUUUGUAAGAAAAUUAAUAUUCUCAAGCUAACAUUAAUAUCUAAAUUCUAUUUAUUCAAUAGCAUUAAUUAAAAUAAAGUUUUUGUCGUUAACAAAUUUUAAGGUAGUUUCUCGGUGAAACUUCUCGACAGAUUUUGUUAAUUUAUUUUUUCACAGUUUACGAAUAACGUUAAUAAGGUUUAUACUUCAAUCAAUAUUUUGUCUUUUAAAAUUUCUUAAUCUAGAAAAUUUUUUUAAAUUAAAUAAAUAGAAUUAAGAUAUAUAAUAUUAGCUUGAGAAUAUUAAUUUUCUUGAGAAUAAAAAAUAAUGCUAAUUUUACCCAAGAUUGGGCUCGAACCCUGAUCGGCCUGCGCUGUUAAGAAUGAGUGAUACCACUUCGCCACUGCUGAUGAUUCAUUGAGGUAGUUCCUCCUUAGAAUUAAGUUAAACUCGACUUAAAAAGGUUCUACUGUAUCACAGCCCGGCAAAAAUUCAAAUCGAAAAGACUAGACAGUCCUUCAGUCCGCCAUUUUGUUUCACUAGUCCGCCAUUUUGUUUUCCAUUAAGAGAUGCGGUAAACGUUGAAAAGGCCAUCAGGAAUUGUGUAGAGCAUGCAUUAGACUCUAGCACUUCUAACCAGCAAGAGAACAAAUUUAAAUGUUUAAUUAUUUAUUAUUAAUAAUAAUAUUUUGUUGCCUCCCUUGUAAAUAACAUAUCCAAGCUGAGAGUAAUCAAGAGGGAGUUUAGCUCUCACAUGGUUGUGUGUAUGAGUAACAAGAAGCAAGAACAAAAGUGUGAAUGUGUGUAAUCUAGAUAUGCUCUACAAAGCUUUUGGAGGUUAUGUAGGCAGAAAGCUCUUUAGUAAGUUGAUAAACUUGUUUUAUU